GCAUAUCAAUAAGCGGAGGAAAAGAAACUAACAAGGAUUCCCCUAGUAACUGCGAGUGAAGCGGGAAGAGCUCAAAUUUGUAAUCUGGCGUGAGCCCGAGUUGUAAUCUAGAGAAGCGUUAUCAGGCCGUUCGCGCGCUAAAGUCCCUUGGAACAGGGUGUCAUAGAGGGUGAGAAUCCCGUGCUUGGUGCGAUUGAAGGGCUGUAGAGGCGCUCUCGACGAGUCGAGUUGUUUGGGAAUGCAGCUCAAAAUGGGUGGUAAACUCCAUCUAAAGCUAAAUAGUGGCGAGAGACCGAUAGCGAACAAGUACCGUGAGGGAAAGAUGAAAAGAACUUUGGAAAGAGAGUUAAACAGUACGUGAAAUUGCUGAAAGGGAAGCGCUUGGAGUAAGUCUCGCGGCCAGGAAUCAGCUCUGCGUAUUUCCUGGCUGUGGGCCAGCAUUAACUUCGGGCGGCGGAGAAGGGCUGCUAGGGAAUGUGGCAUCUUCGGGUGUGUUAUAGCCCUGUACCGUACACGUCGCGCGGGGUUAAGGACCGCGGCUCUGCCUAG
rnacentral:rRNA from 1 species